GGACCCAUUCCACUCCCCCUGAGCCUUACACACAAUGGUACCGGUGGGAUUGUGUUUUACCUCAGCUGUGACUCUGUCAAAGAUCAAGUGGAAUACAAGUUAACGAAUUAACUGAUCACACACCAUACCAUAACAUGCUCCAGUUCUGCCUAGAUCGCUAACAGAUUAGCAGUCCCUUUCCGAUGAUUCUAGAUAAUCGAUCCGUUUCUCAACAUCCGCCACUCUUGUAACAUCUCAGUGAAUUUCGUCUACAUGGCAGUGAUCGAUAGACAUAUUACAGCAAGCUCCACCAAGUCAGCAACGACCUUCGACAGCAUUGCCAACAUGUUCAUCAAUUGUCGCCGAAUGUCCUUCACCUCACCGGCCAAAUUGAAUCCCGGGCUUGUGGCUUGCUGCUCGGGGGCUUCAGCUUGCACACAAGGGUUUGGUAUGGAAUGUGACAGCAGCAGAGUAUCCACUUUUGGCGCAGCAGAUGGAAACUUUUCCACCCAACUCCACCCAGGGUACUGUGAGGAUGGAGCGGGCGUAGGCAGAAGGCAGCGUGAACACAUACUUCUCAUCAUGCUCCAAGAGGUGUAACACUCCUAACACGCAUACAAAGGGCACAAAUUAGAUGCUGCGCAACAAUGUGGAUGUCUACUAAGUACCACCUACUAAGCUUUCACUGCAAAUUUCAAGUCAUUAUAAACCAAUCAAAUUCAAAUUCUGAUGCACUUUGAUGCCAGUGCUACAUCAUAACUUUUAUAUAUCUAUAAUGCAAAUAAUGCAAAAAAAGCUUUCAUAAAGCUCUUGAAUGUGAUUCAGGUGAGAAAUUCUACAAGAAAAGCAAGUAUUAAGCAGUAUGGUAAAGAUAUGAUAAAAAUAAGAGUGAUAAUAUAAUAGGAUAAUAAUAAAUAAAUAAGCAGAAAACAGUGAUUGCUGGAUUUACAUAACAGCUGUUUAAGUUCUCAAAAGUAAGUUUAACAGUUGUGUCUAUUUAUUACAUUGUGUCCAAAAUAUGCUUCAAUUUCAAAAGGAAAAAAAAUAAAUAUCUUAACAUCAUAAUUUGGAACCAAUCCUAAAAGGAUCAAAUCCUUAAGAACUCACUAAAAAUUUUAUAAAAUCCUGCAGGACAAACUGAAAUUCCCAUUGUAAGUCUAUAUUUCCAGAUGUUCAGUUUAUCUAGUAGGAUCUUUGUUUGAUCCCUGCAGGAUUUGUUUUCCAAAUUACAUUAACAAUUCAUUAGCAUUCUUUUAAGAUGUUUUGACUUUAUCUAACAUAAACAUUUCAAUAUCCACCCCAAUUUUGUCUAAAUUGCAAUAUCAGAGUAAGCAUACAGGCUGGUAUACAGGUUGCUUAACAGCUGCUUGGGUGAUUAACAUUUUCAUUAUCUUUUCUACAUUUAAAUAUGCUUAUUUUAGUGAAACGUAAAGUCGUCAUUUUUAUUUGUAUAGCACUUUUCACAACACAUACGUUUCAAAGCAGCUUUACAGAAAAUCAUG